rnacentral:rRNA from 1 species
AUUGAACGCUGGCGGCAUGCCUUACACAUGCAAGUCGAACGGCAGCACGGGAGCAAUCCUGGUGGCGAGUGGCGAACGGGUGAGUAAUAUAUCGGAACGUGCCCAGUCGUGGGGGAUAACGUAGCGAAAGCUACGCUAAUACCGCAUACGAUCUAUGGAUGAAAGCGGGGGAUCGCAAGACCUCGCGCGAUUGGAGCGGCCGAUAUCAGAUUAGGUAGUUGGUGGGGUAAAAGCCUACCAAGCCUUCGAUCUGUAGCUGGUCUGAGAGGACGACCAGCCACACUGGAACUGAGACACGGUCCAGACUCCUACGGGAGGCAGCAGUGGGGAAUUUUGGACAAUGGGCGCAAGCCUGAUCCAGCAAUGCCGCGUGCAGGAUGAAGGCCUUCGGGUUGUAACUGCUUUGUACGGUAACGAAUACGCACGGGUUAAUACCCUGUGUGGAUGACGGUACCGGAAUAAGAAGCACCGGCUAACUACGU